ensembl:ncRNA lncRNA:CR45618 long non-coding RNA:CR45618
GAGAAUGGCAAAAUACAAAAACGAGCGAGUCGCACACACAGAGACGUAGUUGAUUUGGAAAGGGGCCUGUGCGAAAAAGUUGCUUGUAUACCGAAUGAUUAAUACAUACAGCUGUGUCAUGGCAAAGAGAGAAUACAAAUUCAACCACUACGAAUUCGAAUGUCGCUCUCCAGUGGGGAUUUUAGAAAAUGAAUCAUUAUAAGUUUUAAAAAAUACUCGAAUUUAUAAUUCGAAAAACGGGUUUUGCAACAGGGAAAGCGGGAAAAUGUCGCAAAACAGAUGGGCAUCCGCAUCGAGUAUCGAUGCGAUAUAUCGCACGCAUAUCGCCGCGAGAAAAGGAAGCUAUCUGGGUCUAGCCGACGUUUUGAUGCUCUAUAGUGGAAUAUUUUCUAAUAAAUUAAAUUUCGCUUGAUCGAUUUUGCAGCAAUUGAUAAAAGCUUAUUUCAGUAGAUCAUCAAAUUGGAAAGCCAAUCGCACUGAAGUACAUAUGAAACCAUAUAAUUGAUCAUAUUGAUAAUGUAUUAGAUAGGAUUGCCGCUAUCUGAAAAAGUGAUAAUGCUCUAUACAAGGGUAUAAUGAACGAAUGGCAGGCACAUGGAAGCCACAAACAGAAACAGCAAAAUUGCAGCUGCUAUGUAUGUUGCUCGACGAAUAGGGU